rnacentral:rRNA from 1 species
UACGGAGGGUGCAAGCAUUAAUCGGAUUUACUGGGCGUAAAGGAUGCGUAGGCGGGACAAUAAGUCAGAUGUGAAAUUCCGGUACUCAAUACCGGAGCUGCAUUUGAAACUGCUGUUCUUGAGGAUAGAUGGAGAGAUCGGAAUUCCAUGUGUAGCGGUGAAAUGCGUAGAUAUAUGGAAGAACACCUGUGGCGAAAGCGGAUCUCUAAUUUACACCUGACGCUGAGGCAUGAGAGCGUGGGGAGCAAAC